rnacentral:rRNA from 1 species
UACGGAGGGGGCAAGCGUUGUCCGGAAUUAUUGGGCGUAAAGAGCUCGUAGGCGGUUCGUCGCGUCGGCUGUGAAAUCCCGGAGCUCAACUCCGGGUCUGCAGUCGAUACGGGCGGACUCGAGUUCGGCAGGGGAGACUGGAAUUCCUGGUGUAGCGGUGAAAUGCGCAGAUAUCAGGAGGAACACCGGUGGCGAAGGCGGGUCUCUGGGCCGUUACUGACGCUGAGGAGCGAAAGCGUGGGGAGCGAACAGG